GGGCGUUUAGCUCAGUUGGCUAGAGCGCCGCCCUUACAAGGCGGAAGUCGAGGGUUCGAGUCCCCCAACGCCCA
rnacentral:tRNA from 1 species